GAUGAACGCUAGCGGCAGGCCUAAUACAUGCAAGCCGGACGGCAAGUUGAGUAGCAAUACUUAGCCAAGAGUGUCGUACGGGUGCGUAACACGUAUGCAACCUACCCUAUACAGGAGGAUAGCCUAGGGAAACCUGGAUUAACCCUUCAUAGUAUUAUUGGAUGGCAUCAUUUGAUAAUUAAAACUGAGGUGGUAUAGGAUGGGCAUGCGUCUGAUUAGUUAGUUGGCGGGGUAAUGGCCACCAAGACGAUGAUCAGUAGGGGGUUCGUUGAGAGGAAGAUCCCCACACUGGCACUGAGAUACGGGCCAGACUCCUACGGAGGCAGCAGUAGGGAUAAAAUUGGUCAAUGGAUGCAAGUCUGAACCAGCCAUGCCGCGU
rnacentral:rRNA from 1 species